CUAUUUUUAUAACUCUUAUAUAAUUUUGCAUGUAUUCUUCGAUCAUUCACUUUAUUCUGCUUCAUUAUAUUGUAUUCCACAAUUAUGUAGGCUAACUUAAUUGUAGUGGUGAUUUGAUUAUUGGAAAAUUGAAGUAGGUAUAAUAAUUCUCCGAAUUUUUUAGGCCCGGUUGCACAACAGCCGGUUAAAUUUUAAUAUAUUUUUUUUAGGAAAAGCCAAGAGAUAUAAAAUAUAAGGUAUCUUCUACUUCUAUUAUUAUUUUGUAUAUUCUAGUAUAUCAGGAGAAGCCAAGGUAGAUAGAAUAUGAUUUUAUUCUAUUAAGAUAAAAUAUUUGGCAUUCUAUCCACCUUCGAAAAAUCGCAAAUGCUGAAAAUGAAAUUAUAAAACAGAGUUUAACGGUAAGCUGAUGCUUCAAGUUUAUUGUUCUCGUUGUAUAGGUAAUCGUAUCCGUCAGAAAAUAAUGUGUCAGUUUUGUUCAAUUAAGUGACAUUGAAUGGAACUUAUUUGAUUUGAACAAUCAAUCAUGCUGAUGUGUAUCUACUCGAUCUACCAAUUUGUUCAAUAUUCUGCAAUUGAGCUUCAUACUGUGUGCAAUUUGUGAAAGAAUCUCCCAAGUUUCAGAGUAAAGUUCUGUUUUUCUUAUUCUGAAGAUACUCUCUAGUACCGUAGUGGCCAACGAAUUCGGGCGUUUUGAUACUAGGCUAUCAAGUAUUGAUAGUAUAGAUAGUAUUGAUCCAUUCGACCAUGGAGGGAUACAAUUGGAAUUACAAAACAUUCUUAUUGGCUUUGCUGAUUAUUCCUGUAAUCAUUCAGAUCUCAGAAGGUAAAGAGCCGGGAAAAAAUGGACCAACUGGUAGACGAUGCAACUGUAGAUUUUGUACGAAUCUAAGACGAAUAAACGAGGCUACACAGAGAAAAACUGAUGCUAAGUUUGGUAAGUCACAAUACAUAUUUUCAUUAUUUGUUAUCAAUAUUUUCAAAUACUCUCUAGGGUAUGUGUAGGAUCAAUCAAUCAAUCAAUCAUAUUUUAUUCAACAAAUGUACAGAUACAUUGAAUAACGUCAUACAUAAUAAAAUAAGAAAACACACAAAACAGUCAAUAACAAAUUCAUCACAAUCAAAUAUGUAAAAAUUCUUCAAAUGAAUAUAAGGACAAUCCUAUCAGAUAUUUCUUCAGCUUGGCUCUAAAGAUUGUCAACUCCUCUAUGGAUUUUUAAUUUCGGGGCAGCAUGUUAAAAUAUUUCUCUUCCAAGAAAGCUGUCUUCAUUUUGAAAAAUUCUAAAUUAUGUCUCUGUACUAUUCUUCCGGAUCUAGUAUUAUAUCUAUGUGAAAUACUACUUCUCUUUUCUAAAUCAGUGAAUUUUUUAAAGUACAUUAUUACAUCAAAAACAUAUUGCCCAUAGACUGUCAAUAUGCCUAGCUGAAAAAAAAUUUGUUUCACCGAGUCCCUCCUUUUUAUGUUCAUGAUAAUUCUCAGUGCUCUUUUCUGCUGAACUAAUAUUUUGUCCAAGUUUUUUUUUGAUGUGCAGCCAUAGAUACACAGGCCGUAAGCUAUAUUGGAAUGAACCAAUGCGUAGUAAAUAGCUUUCAGAGCAUUCAGCCCACACACAUUGGUCAUACGCCUAAGAGCAAACAGGCCUGGUGAUAUUUUCUUCAGCACAUGAUUGACAUGCUCGUUCCAAGACAAAUGUUCAUCAAUAACCAAACCUAGGAAUUUUGUGCUAGUUGUAUGCUCUAAAAUGGAGGGAUCCUAUACUUGUACUGUGUAAAAGUCCAGUAGUGUGGUUUAUUUAUUUACUAGCCGUCAGGCUCGCUUCGCUCGCCAUAUCCGUCUAGCCAGGGGGCCCCGCCCCCUGGACCCCCGACUGGGUCGUCCAAGAAUGAGAUCA